GCGCGUGUAGCUCAGUUGGUUAGAGCGCUACUCUGAUAAAGUAGAGGUCCCCAGUUCGAAUCUAGGCACGCGCA
rnacentral:tRNA from 1 species